UACGUAGGGGGCAAGCGUUGUCCGGAAUCAUUGGGCGUAAAGAGCGUGUAGGCGGCCCGAUAAGUCCGCUGUGAAAGUCCAGGGCUCAACCCUGGGAUGCCGGUGGAUACUGUCGGGCUCGAGUCCGGAAGAGGAGUGUGGAAUUCCUGGUGUAGCGGUGAAAUGCGCAGAUAUACGAGGAGGAACACCGAUGGCGAAGGCGGGGUCGUCU
rnacentral:rRNA from 1 species